CAACGUGCCUUUUCAGAUAGGAAAGGGAGAGUGUGGGAUAAAGAAGGAGGCACAGGAGAAGGAAGAGAGGGAGAGGGAGAGAAAGAAAGGCUGCCUGGCUUCGUGCGUGCGCGUGGUGGGGGAACUGCAAAAAGCCAGAAAUAGGGUGGGGGGAGUGCCAUACAAGCCUAGCACUGGCAUGCUUUUUUAUUAUUAGAUUAUUUUACCACUCAAUACCCUUAUCUGCCUAACUGCACUCUUUAGCCAGCGCUUCGCAUUGUGUGUGUCCCCCCCCCCCAGUCUCUCUCUCUUCUGAGGUUACUUCUAGCAGCGAUUCAAUGGCCACUAUGCAAGCCGAAGGAACUCAGGCAGUAGCAAAGGUUUAAAGGGGGGGGGGGAGAGCGAGAGAGAGAGAGAGCAUGCAAAGUUGAUCUGCCAGCGGAAACUAGCCUGCUUUAAACAAAGUCCUCCGUCCAUGCCAGAAUCUUGUAUUCAAAGAGAUCUCUGUGUGCGUGUUUCCUUUUCUGUGUGAAACCACUACCUUUUAGCUGUUGUUGUCGAAAUUACUUUUCCAGGAGCAGAAGAUAGACCAACCCCAUUUGGCAUCGUUCUUCAUUAAGUGAUCGCUUCCAUCAGCCACGCUGUGUGAUGUCUUUGGAAGGGGGGGGUGGAUGAGAGAGGGAAAUCUUUUUAGGUUUUGCUAUGAGGCUGCCAGGAGACUGGAAGGCAAAAUCACUAUCUUAAAAUAGUGGUGUAGAUUUGAAUGCACUGGGGUGUUGUUGUUGCUGCUGCUGCUGUUGAUGCUUUAAAUGGGCCAAUCCGUCCUGUUACUAUAAACAUGUACAAUUUUACCUGUGUUUUGUGGAACCUGUGCUUAAGGUAUUGCCCUGGUAAUGUCUUUUUUUACGGCUAUGUUAAUUACAGCAAAGUUAUUCAGCAAAUCGAGUGAAAUGGUGCCCCCUUCUUCCGUUCCCAAGGAUCAAAUGAACUUUUGAAAAUACACACAACACACUUUCUUCGCCUUUCUCCCUCGCUCCUUCUCUCUCUCUCUCUCACACACACAUACAUACACACGCUACCUAUCACGUUAGUGUGUAUGUGUUUGUGCAGCUUCCUCCAAUCACUUUGCUGGAACUAAAACAUGCCUUACCUCAGAGCAGUCAAUUACCAAAGCUACCCGAGAUCAUCAAUCAUGGGGACUGCUUGAAGUUUAGGGGAGGAGCAAUGGUCAAACUAUUGAUUGCUGCAGUUUUGUACUCCCCCCUCCCCUCUCUCUCUCUUUCAUGCUCCCUGAACAUAAAAUCUAAACCAGACAAUACUGUUAAUAGUGAGGUUUAUCAAUGUAUCUACUUGUGAAUGUGGCCUCGCACAUACAUAGCAUUGAAGGGGGGGAGAGAGAACAACUCCCCCCCCCAAAACAAUGACACCACUGCUUAAACUUGGAAGAGGGAGAGUCGCAGGGAGAUUCGGUUCUUCGUAACAGGGUCACAGUGAAGGAAAGUUGGGGAGGAAAGGGAGGGAAAAAAUCACCCAAGUGGGGGUGGGGUUGGCUCUAGAAAUUUGGCCAGAUUUUAAUGGGCGAUGGGAAUGUGCUCCAGAGGUCAAUAAAGCCCUCCAAAAUGAUGAAUGAUUGAGUACCUGUGAUGAUGAUAGUGAUUACCGGAGCAAUUAAACAGUUUGAUUAAAUGAGCCAUCAUAACAAUGAUGUCUGCGGGAAAUCAGCCCUCACAUAUAAAGAAAGAUAGCGUGGAGAGAGAGGCUGACAAACGCCACUGGGCAUGGCUUCGCUUUCCGAGAGCGCUCAGCCUGGCAAAGCGGGAGAGGCUGAACGCGCCGCUCCAGAGGCGAGCGAGGCGAGGAAAGGAUCGGCGAGACUUUAAGCCAGACUUGCGCGCUCUCUUCCAACACCCUCUGAAGCUGCGGAGCCAGAUCCAGGACGCUGCUUUUUCUCCCCCUUCUCUCCCCCCCCCCGUUUCUUCCCUCCCCUCUUCCUUUCUCCCCUCUAGAGGACCUCUUCCAAGAUUAAAGCCGUCCUGAAGAGCAAGCGCUCUCCUCUGUGGCUGACUUGCCCGGGACUUUACUGAAAGAUGGAUUGCUUGUAGUGUUCACCCUUUUCUUUUUUUACCCAAUGCCUAUUGAAAGUCUGCAAAAAAAGGAUCACAGUAGAACUUUCAGCCCAGCUGAUUUCAACACUAUUUUCAAUUUGAAGAUCCUGAAAAUUGCAGCGUGGGAUGCCAGCUCUUCAAUAUUUCUGUAAUUCCUAGCAUUUCUUAGAAACACAGUUAAUUUAACAAGCUUAAUUUGUUCUCAUAGCAUAUACAAUAAUUUCUAUUAAUGGCAAAUCAACAUGUUGAGCCAAAUGAAUGAUGACAGUUAAGGACACCGUUACACAUCAAUAUCAUGGCCACAACCAAACUCAAGUAAAAUCGUAUAAUGAAGCUGCAUGAGAGCAUUUGACUUCAUGUUGACCAAACAGAAACCAAGAAUGAAUAUGCUUCCUUCCCUUGACAUUCCAUAUCAUACUGUGAGAUGCUUUGGAAAGUGAAGGCAGGCAAAGCCUUUACAAAGUGACAUUUCUGUUUCACACUUUCAAUGAAUUUAUCCUUAACUGUGAUGUGACAGCACCUAUACUGUGGAACUCCCUGCCAACUGAUAUUUCACUGGCACCUUCAUUCUAAUGUUUUUGACAAUUGUUAAAACCUUUUUCAUUUAGGUAAGCCUACCUAGACGUGAAUAUUUGUUAUCUACUUUAAUAUGAAAUUUUGUUUUGUUUUACUAAAACAAACAAACAACUGCUCAUUUUACUGAUUAUUUUUUGAGGUGGGGUGGGGGAGGAAAUCAGCUUGUUUUUAACAUUUGAUUUUAUCAUUCUUUUAAAUGUAUAUUUUAUGUAAAUGGCUUAGAGGUUUGGAUGAUGAAGCUGUGUCUAAAUCUUGUUAAAUAUAACAAAUGAAAUAAAUUUGGAAGUAAUGCAGAAAUCCAAUGAAACUUUCUUCUUCAGAGAUGCUCUCAGUGCCUCAAUAUGUAAUCAGGAAGCCUCCUGCCAAUCCCUGGACCAGUUUUGGAAUGAUAACAAUAAAAGUUUCUGAUUUUU